CGAGUUUGAUCAUGGCUCAGAAUCAACGCUGGCGGCGUGCCUCAGACAUGCAAGUCGAACGAUUAAAGCUCUCUUCGGAGAGUGUAUAGAGUGGCGCACGGGUGAGUAACACGUAAGUAAUCUACCCUCGAGUGGGGAAUAACAACCGGAAACGGUUGCUAAUACCGCAUAAUGCAGCGGCACCGCAAGGUGACAGUUGUUAAAGAUUUAUCGCUUGAGGAGGAGCUUGCGGCAGAUUAGCUAGUUGGUAGGGUAACGGCUUACCAAGGCUACGAUCUGUAACCGGUCUAAGAGGACGGUCGGUCACACUGACACUGAAUAACGGGUCAGACUCCUACGGGAGGCAGCAGUCGGGAAUUUUGGGCAAUGGGCGAAAGCCUGACCCAGCAACGCCGCGUGAAGGAUGAAGUAUUUCGGUAUGUAAACUUCGAAAGAAUAGGAAGAAUUAAUGACGGUACUAUUUAUAAGGUCCGGCUAACUACGUG
rnacentral:rRNA from 1 species